rnacentral:tRNA from 1 species
GGUGUUGUAGCUCAGUGAUAGAGCACCUGCCCAGCACAUGUGAGGCACUGGGUUCAAUCCUCAGCACCACUU